rnacentral:tRNA from 2 species
GGGCGGAUGGUCGAGUGGUAAGAUUCCGCCCCGACAAGGCGGCGAUCGGCGGUUCAAAUCCGCCUCCGCCCA